rnacentral:rRNA from 1 species
CAGUCGAGCGGACUGAUGGGAGCUUGCUCCCAUCAGUCAGCGGCGGACGGGUGAGUAACACGUGGGUAACCUGCCUGUAAGACUGGGAUAACUCCGGGAAACCGGGGCUAAUACCGGAUAACUCAUUUCCUCGCAUGAGGAAAUGUUGAAAGGUGGCUUUUAGCUAUCACUUACAGAUGGACCCGCGGCGCAUUAGCUAGUUGGUGAGGUAACGGCUCACCAAGGCGACGAUGCGUAGCCGACCUGAGAGGGUGAUCGGCCACACUGGGACUGAGACACGGCCCAGACUCCUACGGGAGGCAGCAGUAGGGAAUCUUCCGCAAUGGACGAAAGUCUGACGGAGCAACGCCGCGUGAGUGAUGAAGGUUUUCGGAUCGUAAAACUCUGUUGUUAGGGAAGAACAAGUACCGUUCGAAUAGGGCGGUACCUUGACGGUACCUAACCAGAAAGCCACGGCUAACUACGUGCCAGCAGCCGCGGUAAUACGUAGGUGGCAAGCGUUGUCCGGAAUUA